UUUUUGUCGCUAGGUAUUUAGGGAAAAAAAGUUACAUCAAAAUAAGUGUUCUGCUUUAGCGAAAAACUAGCCCCUUUCCAAAAAAUAAGGUCUUUCUUUCUCACAGAAGACUACACUAAGAAACCAGCCCCUUUGCUGCUUCGUCUUCUUCUUCUUCUUCUCCUCUAAUCUUUGAUUAAUUUUCCCAGAUGCGUCACUACAUCAACUCUUUUCUAAAAUACUGGUGUUUUGAGAUCUGCGUGGUUUCCAAUUUCUUCAAGGCGAAGUGCUGCAAAACUCUACAUUGUUGCUGAACUUUCACGUUGUUUUUUCCUGCUUUUGAGACUGCUUUGACAUCAACCAGUUCCAGCAUCUACCCAGUAACCAGUUCUUCACUCGAGCACUAGUAGUCUUGGAGUUCUGCUACUCUUUUAUACCUCCUGUAUAUCAUCUUUAUUUCAGGAAAAGGAACGAAACAAUCUCAAAGAUUCCUCAUGGAUUAGUUAAGGUAUAAAAAACCUUCUGACUUUCAGAUAUGACUCGAGGCAGCUGCAGCUCCUCUGUAAUACUUUGGAGCAAGAAUGUGGUAUCUCUCUUGGUCUGCUGUCUCCCAUAUUUUAAAUUUUACAGUAGCAUCAUUUACUGCUACUGUUGAGAAAAAUGCUGCACCAAUAGUUGAUUCCUACACAUAACAGAGGAGCAGCUACACUUAUCAAAUGGCUAUUGAAAAGGGUCGAGAUCCAACACCAAGUGAGCUACACUUGCACGUCCAUACACAUGGUCAUGAUGAAAAAUCUUUUGUUAGUGAGCAAUCCCGACUUGUACAUGAAAAAUACCAGCAAAUAUUACAAGCUACAAACACAAACUCAAUCUAAGAUUGAUCAAUCUUUAGCAUUUUAUCAAGCUGCAGGAGGGGAAAAGAAGAGAAUAUAUGGUCUUGGAUCUCGAGCAAAAUAUUUCUUUGGGCCGAAUCUUCAUGCCUCUUCUGGAUCUAAUGCUUCUUCAUCAGCAGCACCUCCGAAUGCUCAGUCAGCACCGAUGGCGAAUUUGGAUGAGUUAGUGAUGCGAUUGAUUCCUGCAUUGACUGAUCAUAUGGUUCCUGUACUGAUUGAUAACAUGCUUCUUGUGUUGGCUGAGCGAGUAAGAGGAUUGAUAGCUUCACCAUCACAUGUGCAAGAUAAUCAUACUGAUCACCCAUCAGCUAUGGCACCUCUAGUUCCUCCUCCUCCUACAACUAAUAUAAACGAGGUUCAUGCAUCGCUUUCUGAUGAUGACCUUCACUCUCCAGUCUCUCUGUAGUUAACUAUUUUUAUUUGAACUUUAUUUUAGUAUUGUAGAUGUUUUGGUAUUAACAAGGUUCAUGCAUCGUUUUCUGAUGAUGACCUUUACUCUCCAGUUGCUCAGUAAUUAACUAUUUUUGUUUGAACUUAAUUUUAGUAUUGUAAAUGUUUUAAUCUUAA